rnacentral:tRNA from 1 species
GGCGCCGUAGCCAAGUGGUAAGGCAUCUCUCUGCAAAAGAGAUAUACGCCGGUUCGAUUCCGGCCGGCGCCU